rnacentral:rRNA from 1 species
CAGUCGCCACGGUAAUACGGAGGGUGCAAGCGUUAAUCGGAAUUACUGGGCGUAAAGCGCACGCAGGCGGUCUGUCAAGUCGGAUGUGAAAUCCCCGGGCUCAACCUGGGAACUGCAUCCGAAACUGGCAGGCUAGAGUCUUGUAGAGGGGGGUAGAAUUCCAGGUGUAGCGGUGAAAUGCGUAGAGAUCUGGAGGAAUACCGGUGGCGAAGGCGGCCCCCUGGACAAAGACUGACGCUCAGGUGCGAAAGCGUGGGGAGCAAACAGGAUUAGAUACCCCUGUAGUCCCUGUCUCUUAUAU